UACGAAGGGUGCUAGCGUUGUUCGGAAUUACUGGGCGUAAAGCGCGCGUAGGCGGCUUUGCAAGUCAGAGGUGAAAUCCCCAGGCUUAACCUGGGAACUGCCUUUGAAACUGCCAAGCUGGAGUAUUGGAGGGGAGCGGGAAUUCCAAUGUAGAGGUGAAAUUCGUAGAUAUUAGGAGGAACACCGGUGGCGAAGGCGCCGCUCUGGACAAUCACUGACGCUGAGGCGCGAAAGCGUGGGGAUCAAACAGGG
rnacentral:rRNA from 1 species